AGUAGCCGCGGUAAUACGUAGGUGGCAAGCGUUGUCCGGAAUUAUUGGGCGUAAAGCGCGCGCAGGUGGUUUAAUAAGUCUGAUGUGAAAGCCCACGGCUCAACCGUGGAGGGUCAUUGGAAACUGUUAAACUUGAGUGCAGGAGAGGAAAGUGGAAUUCCUAGUGUAGCGGCGAAAUGCGUAGAGAUUAGGAGGAACACCAGUGGCGAAGGCGGCUUUUUGGCCUGUAACUGACACUGAGGCGCGAAGGCGUGGGGAGCAAACAGGAUUAGAUACCCCCGUAGUCCCUGUCUCUUAUACA
rnacentral:rRNA from 1 species